rnacentral:miRNA from 10 species
GAGCGUCAUGUUGGUGCUCAAAAAACUAAGGAUUUUGGAGCAUUUCAGAUUUUGGAUUUUUGGAUGAGGGAUGCUCAA